AUUGAACGCUGGCGGCAGGCUUAACACCUGCAAGUCGAGCGAGCGGCGGACGGGUGAGUAAUGUCUGGGAACCUGCCUGAUGGAGGGGGAUAACUACUGGAACCGGUAGCUAAUACCGCAUACCAUCAGAUGUGCCCAGAUGGGAUUAGCUAUUAGGUGGGUUAAUGGCUCACCUAGGCGACGAUCCCUAGCUGGUCUGAGAGGAUGACCGGCAACACGGGAACUGAGACACGGUCCAGACUCCUACGGGAGGCAGCAGUGGGAAAGAGUGCACAAUGGGCGCAAGCCGGAUGCAGCCAGGCCGCGUGGGUGAAGAAGGCCUUCGGGUGGUAAAGCACUGUCAGCGAGGAGGCGUUACUCGCAGAAGAAGCACCGGCUAACUCCGUGCCAGCAGCCGCGGUAAUAC
rnacentral:rRNA from 1 species